GCUAACUAUUUGCUGGGAGCUAGUUUUAGAGAGACCUGCUGUGGAAAACUCAGCCAGAAGCUAGCAAGUGUCAAGUGAAUCCACAACAUUACCACAAACAAACAAGCCAGAGAGUGGAGAGGAGGAAGACUGGAUAAGAAGAGUGAAAGAGAGAAAAGAUUGGAGAGGAAGGAGAAGGAAAAAUGAAGAGAGUAAAAAGAGUGAAGUGAUGAGAUUGCAGAAGAUUGAGGUGGAAAUUUGAAGAGAAGGAAAGAAAGAAAGAGCAGUAAGAUGAGUGAAGAAAAGAG